GAUGAACGCUAGCUACAGGCUUAACACAUGCAAGUCGAGGGGCAGCACUAGGUAGCAAUACUGAGGUGGCGACCGGCGCACGGGUGCGUAACGCGUAUCCAACCUUCCCGAUACUCUUGGAUAGCCUUCCGAAAGGGAGAUUAAUACAAGAUGGUGUUUCAGUUUCGCAUGUUAUUGAAACUAAAGAUUUAUCGGUAACGGAUGGGGAUGCGUGACAUUAGAUAGUAGGCGGGGUAACGGCCCACCUAGUCUACGAUGUCUAGGGGUUCUGAGAGGAAGGUCCCCCACACUGGAACUGAGACACGGUCCAGACUCCUACGGGAGGCAGCAGUGAGGAAUAUUGGUCAAUGGCCGGAAGGCUGAACCAGCCAAGUAGCGUGAAGGAUGAAGGUUCUAUGGAUUGUAAACUUCUUUAUGAGGGACGAAGGACGUGACGGUACCUCAUGAAUAAGCCACGGCUAACUACGUG
rnacentral:rRNA from 1 species